rnacentral:rRNA from 1 species
CCCAAUGUGAACGUUACCAAACUGUUGCCUCGGCGGGAUCUCUGCCCCGGGUGCGUCCCACCCCGGACCAAGGCGCCCGCCGGAGGACCAACCAAAACUCUUAUUGUAUACCCCCUCGCGGGUUUUUUUUAUAAUCUGAGCCUUCUCGGCGCCUCUCGUAGGCGUUUCGAAAAUGAAUCAAAACUUUCAACAACGGAUCACUUGUUGCUUCUGGCAUCAAUGAAGAACGCAGCGAAAUGCGAUAAGUAAUGUGAAUUGCAGAAUUCAGUGAAUCAUCGAAUCUUUGAACGCACAUUGCGCCCGCCAGUAUUCUGGCGGGCAUGCCUGUCCGAGCGUCAUUUCAACCCUCGAACCCCUCCGGGGGGUCGGCGUUGGGGAUCGGCCCUGCCUUGGCGGUGGCCGUCUCCAAAAUACAGGGGGGGGUCUCGCCGCAGCCUCUCCUGCGCAGUAGUUUGCACACUCGCAUCGGGGAGCGGGGCGCGUCCACAGCCGUUAAACACCCAACUUCUGAAAUGUUGACCUCGGGAUCAGGUAGGAAUACCCCGCUGAACUUAAGCAUAUCAUAAA